AUUGCAGCUACCUCCUUGCACA
rnacentral:miRNA from 1 species